rnacentral:ncRNA from 1 species
GGUUGGGCGUAUGCUUCAAGUUCCUGGGUGGGUAACCAGU